AAAUGCUCCGGGGUUUUGACAUGCGCUCGGCAAAUUGGGCAGGUACAAUUGUUAAAUCAAGUUCCCUGGGGAGAGCCUGGUCUCCAGCCAAUAUAUC